GACGAACGCUGGCGGCGUGCUUAACACAUGCAAGUCGAACGGAAAGGCCCUGCUUGCAGGGUACUCGAGUGGCGAACGGGUGAGUAACACGUGGGUGAUCUGCUCUGCACUUCGGGAUAAGCCUGGGAAACUGGGUCUAAUACCGGAUAGGAGCCAGUUUUAGUGUGAUGGUUGGAAAGUUUUUUUCGGUGUAGGAUGAGCUCGCGGCCUAUCAGCUUGUUGGUGGGGUAAUGGCCUACCAAGGCGGCGACGGGUAGCCGGCCUGAGAGGGUGGACGGCCACAUUGGGACUGAGAUACGGCCCAGACUCCUACGGGAGGCAGCAGUGGGGAAUAUUGCACAAUGGGCGCAAGCCUGAUGCAGCGACGCCGCGUGGGGGAUGACGGCCUUCGGGUUGUAAACUCCUUUCGCUAGGGACGAAGCUUUUUGUGACGGUACCUAGAGAAGAAGCACCGGCUAACUACGUG
rnacentral:rRNA from 1 species